GAGUUUGAUCGUGGCUCAGAGCGAACGCUGGCGGCAGGCUUAACACAUGCAAGUCGAGCGGGCGUAGCAAUACGUCAGCGGCAGACGGGUGAGUAACACGUGGGAACGUACCUUUUGGUUCGGAACAACUGAGGGAAACUUCAGCUAAUACCGGAUAAGCCCUAACGGGGAAAGAUUUAUCGCCGAAAGAUCGGCCCGCGUCUGAUUAGCUAGUUGGUGAGGUAAUGGCUCACCAAGGCGACGAUCAGUAGCUGGUCUGAGAGGAUGAUCAGCCACACUGGGACUGAGACACGGCCCAGACUCCUACGGGAGGCAGCAGUGGGGAAUAUUGGACAAUGGGGGCAACCCUGAUCCAGCCAUGCCGCGUGAGUGAUGAAGGCCCUAGGGUUGUAAAGCUCUUUUGUGCGGGAAGAUAAUGACGGUACCGCAAGAAUAAGCCCCGACUAACUUCGUGCCAGCCGCCGCGGUAAC
rnacentral:rRNA from 1 species